rnacentral:rRNA from 1 species
UACGUAGGGUGCAAGCGUUGUCCGGAAUUAUUGGGCGUAAAGAGCUCGUAGGCGGCUUGUCGCGUCGACUGUGAAAACCCGGGGCUCAACCCCGGGCCUGCAGUCGAUACGGGCAGACUAGAGUGCGGUAGGGGAGACUGGAAUUCCUGGUGUAGCGGUGAAAUGCGCAGAUAUCAGGAGGAACACCGGUGGCGAAGGCGCCGCUCUGGGCCGUGACUGACGCUGAGGAGCGAAAGCGUGGGUAGCAAACAGG